rnacentral:tRNA from 1 species
GCGAGAAUAGCUCAGUGGUAGAGCUCCACCUUGCCAAGGUGGAUGUCGCGAGUUCAAAUCUCGUUUCUCGCU